rnacentral:rRNA from 1 species
UCCAUGUAGAUAACGUGGUUGAUAGGUACCAAGUGUAAGUGCUGUGAGGCAUUGAGCUGAGGUAUACUAAUAGUCGAUUGGCUUUUUACG